CGCGAGAUAAGCGUGGGGUCGGAAGUUCAAGUCUUCCCGGGCCCACCAUUCGCAUAUGCGAAUGAGGGUUAGGGAUGAUGGAAUGUGGCUGAUGCGGAACGUUGCCGAACCUGGUUUAUACCGGGUGAUCGAGCUGGAGGGGCUGUAGCUCAGCUGGGAGAGCACCUGCUUUGCAAGCAGGGGGUCAGCGGUUCGAUCCCGCUCAGCUCCACCAAAUCGAUUGGUGUUGAAGCUGACGGUAACGAAGCGAAAGCUUCGCAAGCGCAAGGCGCGUCGCCAAUCGUUUGGCGCCCCCGCGGAGCGCCUUCGGCGCGUGAGCGACAAAUUUGUCUUUUGAAGAAAUAAAAGUUUUGCAUCGGCUUAUGGCUGAUGCGUGUUCUGCAUACAUUGUGAAGAGAAGAUUGAUCUGGAGGCUUCCAGGUGUUUUGGGUUCUGCCCAAGGCGUCCGAGCCCAGUUCCUGUGAACCCAUGGAUGGCCUAGCCGGCCGGAUGUGGUGGAGGGAUUGGAGGGUGGAAGGAAGCUUGUCACUCUGGAUCGUUCGUUGUUCGUUGCCUUUGGGCAUCGUCUGAUGAACGAUCGGAUUACCGUUGCCUGACCGCGCGGUAUCGGAUCAUAUCUCGAGAAGCUGGUCUUAAGACAGGCUGCAAGCGAGCUGCUCGGCGUAGCUCCAAUAAAGCAGACCUGUCGAACACGUUAAUGGCAUUGUUU
rnacentral:tRNA from 1 species